rnacentral:snRNA from 1 species
GGAUUCAGGGGUAUUCUAUUAUGUCUCUAUUUCUAGAUUUUAUACUGCUUAAUUCAGUCAGAGAGCCACUACCUUCUAUCGGCUCUCCACGUGUUUCCCUUCCAAAGCUGAGAACUUUUUCAAAGAUGACGACCUUUUCUUUAUGGAGGAUAACUAUGUGUAGUUAGGAAUAUAAAUGUGGUUCCAUUUCUCUUCUAGAGCCUCCACACCAACAGCUAAAUGCCAUUUGUAUAAGUUCGCAGGAAACAAAUUAGAGCGGAGAAAUUAGGGACCUGUAUUAAGAUACUCAAUUUUCAUU